rnacentral:misc_RNA from 1 species
CGCGUGUGUGCUCCGAGUGAAGCGCGAAUUAACGCGCGACGGGGAUGACCGCGAGGGCCGUUCAGGCGCGCGUGAUACGACGGUGCGGGCGAGGGCACGCGCGGAAAGGGGCAGAGGGUGCCGGCCGGUUAUCAGAGGGGUCGGAAACGCGGAAGCGCGCCAGUCGACGGCGAGACUUCGCCCGCGCAGCUUCACUCUUUCUCUCUUACCAAACCCACCACCACCCCCCAUCUCCUCUCGUCGUUGUCUCCGUCCAUCGUCUGUCAGUUCGCAAUAGCCCUCUCCCCCCGUGAUACUCUCUAUAUCUUUCGUCGCGCGAGUCGGAUAUAAAAUUCGCUCAUUUUUGCACGUAGCAUUUCUCUCUCGCGCGGAACACCCGGCCGAGAGUGAAGACGAAAGUCACGUGGCGAUCGCGUGGACAACGCGGGUGAACAAACACCGCCAGCGAGAGCGUCAUCGUUCGGAGAAGGAGAAGAGUGGAAGAGAAGAAGAUAUCUUCGCUUCCGGGCCGUUGGAUGUAGAAAAAUCGAGGAACACACCAUGACGAGGUCGACGCGCCGAUUUCUACUCUUACUGCUGCACACGCUGAUUGGCGUUUGCCGCGGCAUCCAGCAGUUCGAGGACGAGCCGCAGUACACCGAGGUCAAUCCCGGCCAAGACGCGAAGCUGGUGUGUCGAGUCCUUGGGAAGAGGGGACAAUGCAUUUGGCAGAAGGAUCAAAAGCCGAUAGGCAUGCACCUGAAGAAGUACGAGUGGGUGGGCUCGCCGGACAUGGGCGACUGCUCGCUAUGGGUGCGAUCCGCCACACUCGAGUUCGACGACGGGCUUUGGCAAUGCCAAGUGACCGCGAGUGAUUUCACGACGCAGGACGCGUUAGCAUCCGAACCAGCGAGGCUGGUCGUCAGAGUCAGCCCUCAGCGACCGCAGAUAGAGUACGCCGACCGUCUAAUUCUCCCCGGCAGCAACGUGACAGCCCGAGCAGGUGAGAUCGCUACGCUCACUUGCAGAGCGCGGUAUGGGAAUCCUUCGCCUCUAAUUAAAUGGUACGUGGGCGAGACCGAGCUGAGGACGCUGAGGCCGCAGGUAAACUCGACCGAGGUAGAUAAUCCGCGCACUUGGGCGACCUACAGUAUUUGCGAGAUUCUGGCCGAGCGAUCACGUUACGGCCAGCCGAUCAGAUGCGUCGCCAUCCAUCCAGCGUACGCCAAUCCUACCAUGUCCUCCAGCAUCGAAGUGAGGUUCGACGUGCGAUACGCGCCGGAGACGAGAUUAGUCGGCGUCCCAACUGGCCAGUUGGAGGAGGGUCGCGAUCAACUGGAGAUCCGUUGUCUCGCCGACGCCAAUCCGCCGGCCUCGAUCCUCUGGAGGAAAACGAAGAGCCCCGGUGUGACGGAGGUGGCCAGUAUCGGCGAGACUCUGCUGUUCUCGCCGAUUUACAGAAACCACGCGGCCGUUUACCUCUGCGAGGCGUCCAACAUCGAAGGCGAGAGCAGCCCGGUGUCGGUCCAGGUGUCCGUGAACUAUCCACCGACAAUCAGCGCGGUUGGGCCGGACCGGCUGACCACCGCGUUAUUGUAUUCCGGUGCGUCCUUUGAGUGUCACGCUGACUCCAUGCCGCCGGCCGAGUACAGAUGGGCGCAGGUAUUCACGGACGGCCGGAUGCCAUUGGAAUGCGGCACAGGGCAGCGAUUGAUCCUGACGAACGUGACGUACGAGCAACAGGGCCAGUACAUAUGUCUCGCCUCCAACAAGAUCAAUGGGAACGUCAGAGAAGUUAAAAGCGACCCUGUGUCCCUGCAAGUGGUCGGCGCGCCACGGGUGGUGAAGCCGGCCAUCACGGAGAAGUUCGUCGUGGCGACGACGGAGGGUAGCCCGGCCAGAUUAGAGAUCAGACUGUGCUCCGACCCGAAGCCGCGGCUCGUAGCUUGGGAAUGGGGCAGCACCAGACUGCACGCCGGUGAGGUCCUGGAGCCGCGCUACCGCGCACUCGAUCUAGAGCCGUUGGCUUCGGAGGACUGUUAUAUAGCGAUUUUGGAGCUGACCAGCACGGUGAAGGAGGAUCAAAGGCUGUAUCACGUUAUCGUGGAGAAUGACCGCGGCAGCGACAGGCGCGCGCUCAUGCUGAGAGUCGACGAACCCGGUCAGGUGCUGCGUGGCCAGAAACACGGUGCCGACGUUGCAGCAAGUGCAUUGUACAAAGGCUUCCAACGCGAUGAUAGAGGAUCCACGCUUGGCGGUGGAUACGAUGGAGCGUACGAGUCAGCAGUUCGUCCCGGAGAAACGAGCCAAUCACGUUCUGAAGCCCGUCCCGUCGCAGCAAUAUCAGCAGGAGUGUUAUCAGCAUGACCCGCAACACCAGCAACAACAUUAUCAGAGGCAUCAUCAUCAUGGACAACCUCACGGACAAUACACGUUGCAGGAAAAAUUCCUUCUACAGGACGAGGAGCGGGACACGCUAAAUCGGAUUAAAAAAGGCAAGGAACGAGGAGCACAAACUUUCCACCUUUUCUCCCGGA